AAGGCAUAUCGGGCACACCCUGUAACACACACAAACACACACACACACACACACACACACACACACACGAGCUCCAGACCUGCAGGGGCCAAUGGAAAGCUUCGGAGCAUACUCCCCAGCCACUGCAAGAAGCCCAGUCUGAACCUAGCAGGAAGAACGGCACCAGGAGCAGCCAGCAGAGCCCUGAUGAAGGGCCUGAACUGUCAUCGUGGAAGAAAACCUGUAUGUGACAUCUCUGCCCACGAUCCAGGCCCAGAGCUGGAUCCUUACACACUGUGUCUCACUGACUCCCAGCUUUAUCCCCACGGGGAAACAGAAGAAACAGGGAAGCAAGACCACUGGCCUCAGGACAAUAAAAAAAGGACAGAGCCGAAGCCAAGGGCCAAAGGUAACAAAUGCUCUCCUGGAAGCAGAUGGGAAAACCAGAAGGAGUUCAGAUCAUGCCUUGGAAUGAAACUAUAGAAGCUGUGGGAUCGUCUUUGAUCAGAGAAAAUUCCUGAGCACCGAGAGUUUGAAGGGAGAAGGGUGGAGACCACUGAGAAAUUCAGAAGAUAGAGGGCUUCUGCUUUGGUGUGUCCUGAGCCAGCCCAACAGCAGGAUACCACUGUUGGAACACAGACGCUCUCCUAAUGGAGGUUCCAGAGUCUGGAGUGAAAUCUCCUCCAUCUCCAAACCCCCUAACUUCCUCCCUUCCUUUUUCUGGAAGCUCUGAGGUUAGCAACAUGCUUUCAGCCAGUUUGGUGUAAUUACCCAUGCAGGCCUCUAUUGUUCUCCAUCCCUGCUCCCUAUGUCCAGCUUGGGCUCGCAGCAAGACCAAGGCCACAGCUCUCUCUGCUUUGGGCUUUAAUAUCUCUCUUUUAAAAAAUCCUCCUCCACCCGGGAUGAUUUAUAGCUCCCACUGUUUUUCUUUUACAGGCCCCUUUUAUUAAUAUCCCUUGUAAGCUAGGUCAUGUCAUUUUAAAAUCCUUUUUCCCAAAAAAUGGAAGGGGAAAUAAACCUGGGUUACAGUGACUCCCUCAUCAUAAAAACCACCAGACCAUUCAGCAUUUCAAAGCUUCUAGAAAGAAAUCCUAGGGCAGCCUUACUUAGCACCCCACGCCAGGGCUUGACAGCAUUCCUCCUGGACUCUCUUUCCAUUAGGUCUACAUUUCAACUCUUCUGAUAUUGUCUGGAUCCAAUUCUUGUACUGCCCCCUCCCCAAAAUCAUUACCUCUUUGGUUUAAUGUUUAAAAGCUUUGUCUCCAUGCUUUGUAUUAAAGAC
rnacentral:lncRNA from 1 species